GGUUAAGCGACUAAGCGUACACGGUGGAUGCCCUGGCAGUCAGAGGCGAUGAAGGGCGUGCUAAUCUGCGAUAAGCGCCGGUAAGGUGAUAUGAACCGUUAUAACCGGCGAUACCCGAAUGGGGAAACCCAGUGUGAYUCGUCACACUAUCAUUAACUGAAUCCAUAGGUUAAUGAGGCGAACCGGGGGAACUGAAA
rnacentral:rRNA from 1 species